UCCUUUUUUUUCUUAUUUUUUUUCUCUUUUUCUCUUUUUUUUUGUUUUCUUCUCUUCUCUUCUCUCUUUCUCCAUCCCCUGCUAAAGCAUCCGAUGGAAAGCUUAAAUAGGUUUUCAUGGCUUUAGAGAAAAUAAGGUACAAGGUAGGGUGGGCAAAAAAGGGUGGUCCAAUGGUAGUGUGACUAAGGUGGUCAAGCAAUGGUGGCAUGACCAGGGUGGUCGAUGGUGGUGGUGGUAUAGCC
rnacentral:lncRNA from 1 species